CCCCCUCAAACAUACUUUCUAAAAUUUCAUCUCUCCCUCCACUCUGGAGAAAAAAAACCCAAAUCAGCAUCGCUUUCCCUCUCUCAAUCUCCCGCGCAUCCCUUUUCUCUCUCUCUCUCUCUAUCUCCCGAACCCUCCCUCACGAAUACUCCCCUCUCAUGAACCCCUCGUCUCUCCCUAAGCAUCCCCUCUCUCUCGAUCUCACGAACCCCUCUUCUCUCCCUCCCGGACGUUAAUGAUCUUAUCAACCUCCUCCAUGGCUCCGACCCCAUUAGGGUCGAGCUCAAUCGCCUCAAGAAUGAGGUCCAAGUUGUUGACCAACUCAAGAACAAAGAAUCUCGAAUUAGCUGAAGAUUUCUUAAAAAAAUUCUAUCUUUUCUAGAUAAGAAGGAAAAGAGUGGAAAACCCAAAAACCUGAGGAGAAAAACCCAUAAUUCAUGUAAAAGUAAGGGGUUCUGCAAAUGUUACGCUACUGUAGCUUGGAUUUUUUUAAGAUAAAGAUAGGGAAUUGGCAGAUGGACAGGCAGAAAUCAAGGCGUUGAAGUACUCAGAACGCCUUAGAGAAAAAGCAGUCGAAGAGGUGAUAUGAAUGACAUGUGAAAUAAGGCCUUUAUUGUUACUUA